CAGGCUGGAGGCACCGCACCCGGCCAGAAUCAUUUCAAGUAUAGAACUGAAUGGCGUGAAGAUUCCACUCACAUUCUUGUGCAGCCACCAGCACCCUCCACCUCCAGAGCUCUCUCACCUCCCAAACUGAAGCUCUGUCCUCGCUGAUCAGUCACUCCUUGCCCCCUCGUCCCUGGCGCCCACCAUUCUACUUUCUGUGUCUGCAUCUGAGGAUUCCAGGGUGUUCACGUGAGUGCAAUCAUGCAGUAUUUGUCCUUCUGUGACUGGCUUAUCUCACCAAGCAUGGCGCUUCAAGGGCCAGCCACGCAGCGGCACGUGUCCAUAUAUCCUUCUUUUUUGCUAUAUGCAUAGGCCGUGCCUUGUUUAUUCACUCACCUGUCAGUGGACAGCUGUGUUGUUUUUAGGAUGUGACUUUGUGAAUCUUUGGGGAUUGAUCAGCUGACCAUGGAGGAAAUUCAUGAAAAGUUCAUGACAAGUGACUCUAGUGAAUCAACAAGUCCCGCUGACCACCUGUGCUGUAUCCUGGCUCAGGGCCUGCUGGAGGGGCUGGGCCGGCCACAUCUUCUACACAGCCCUCGGCCAGGGAUGACGGAAUGGAGGAGGAACACCCAGCUCCCUCUCCCUUUGGCAGUGAAUGUGAAAAUACACAAAGGGCCUUGCCGGCCACCCUUGCUUCGAGUCACUUCCUGGGACUUUUACAUUGCCAGGUGCUGGCACAGAGCCCAGUCUUGCAGGCGGCAAGAAGGCCCUGGGGGCACAUUCUCUCUGCAUGUGUGUGGCAGGAGCCUGCCAUGCCUACACACUGCCACCCAGAGACUCAGGUGAAGCGGAUCAAACAUGAAGAACUGUGUCCCCUGUGCUCUUGUGUGAGGCCAGGAGCCCCCAGGAACGCCAACAGCCAGGGGAGAAGGCAGGAGCAGAACGGGUCUGUUUGGAAAGGGUUUCUUUCCGAGUGGGGACAGCAGCUCUGCAGUGCCUGCUGUGGCUCGACCCUCAGACAUGUCCACGACCAUCACAUCCAGAAGGCCACGCCAUUCACAUUCAGGGUCAAGCAUGCUAUACCUCUGCCACUAUCCUCUCCUCAGCAAUGGCAGGAAGGGGUCUUGGAGAGCAAGAGGAACCCACACACACUGCGGUUGGAAGUGCAAGUCAGGGAAACCACUUUGAAAAGUUUGCGUUUCUACCGAAACUGAGUCUAAGUAUACUGUAUGACCCAGCAGCUUCAGUCCUAGGAAUACGCCCCACAGAGAUGCUUGGACAAGUCACAAGACACAUGUAUGAGGAUGUUACAUCAUGAUGCAUCAUACUCCCAAGUUAGAGACACCCCAAGUGGCCAUCAGCAGGGGACUUGGUGAAGGAAUUGCCAUAUGUUCCCAGAGCAGAUACCAUACAGUGGCAGAUACUGGUAGCCUUCAGCUGCACAUGUCAACAUGGAGGAAUCUCACAAAUGUAAUGUCGAGCAGAAGCCAGAUGCAAGUGAGCACAUCUGUGUAAUUUCACGUGAACAAUGCUGCCAGCAUGCACCUGUGCUUAGCAAUCCAUGCUUCCGUGGUAAAUCUACAAAGGGAAGGAGGCAAUUACCUUGAGGCAGAACGUCAGUGACCUUUGUGGGGAGAGGGCUGUGGAUGGGACGGGCUGGAGGGAGGUUCUGGGGAGUCAGGACUUGGGUGCUGGCCAUGUGGGGUUUGCUUCCUGGU